rnacentral:rRNA from 1 species
GUGAACGCUGGCGGUAGGCCUAACACAUGCAAGUCGAACGGCAGCACAGUAAGAGCUUGCUCUUACGGGUGGCGAGUGGCGGACGGGUUAGGAAUACAUCGGAAUCUACUUUUUCGUGGGGGAUAACGUAGGGAAACUUACGCUAAUACCGCAUACGACCUACGGGUGAAAGCAGGGGAUCUUCGGACCUUGCGCGAUUGAAUGAGCCGAUGUCGGAUUAGCUAGUUGGCGGGGUAAAGGCCCACCAAGGCGACGAUCCGUAGCUGGUCUGAGAGGAUGAUCAGCCACACUGGAACUGAGACACGGUCCAGACUCCUACGGGAGGCAGCAGUGGGGAAUAUUGGACAAUGGGCGCAAGCCUGAUCCAGCCAUACCGCGUGGGUGAAGAAGGCCUUCGGGUUGUAAAGCCCUUUUGUUGGGAAAGAAAAGCAGCAGGUUAAUACCCCGCUGUUCUGACGGUACCCAAAGAAUAAGCACCGGCUAACUUCGUG